rnacentral:lncRNA from 1 species
UUUUUUUUUUUUGGUUUUUUUUUUUUUUUUUUACCCUGAGUAAUAUCCCUCCCACCCACACACACACACACACACACACACACACACACACACACACACAUGCACUUUUAUUUCUCAUGAAUUUAGAUACAUUCUUAAGGAAAUAUCAGCAAAUUUAAUCCAAUAAUAUAUAAAAGGAGUAUGCACCAUGGCCAAGUAGGAUUUAUUUCAUGUACACAAGUUUGAGUCAACAUUUGAAAACCGACGUACUUUAUUAAAUCAACAGACUAAAAGAGAAAAACCAUAACAUAUCAAUCAAUGCUGAAAAAAAAUUGACAAAUCCAACACCCACUCACAAUAAAAACUCUUAGCAAAUGAGGAAUAGAGGACUUCCUCAACUUGAUAAAGAGUAUCUAAAAAACAAACAAACAAAAAACUACAGUUAACAUAAAUAACUGUGAAAGAUAAUGUUUUCUCUGUAAGAUUGAGCCUAGGGCAAGGACUUCUAUCACCACUCUUAUUUAACAUGGUCUUGAAUGCUAGCCACUAAAACAAGGAAAGAAAAAAGAAAGACAGAUGUGAAAGGGAAAAAAAUAAAGUUGUCUCUACUUUCAGAUUAAAUGAUUGUCGAAGUAGAAAAUCCUAAGUAAUCUAUAAAAAAGUUCAUAGAAUUAAUGAGUUCAGCAAAGUGACAGGUAUAAGAUCAACACACAAAAAUCAAUCACAUUCCUAUAUUAACAAUGAACAUGUGGACUGAAGUCACUGAAGGAUGUAAGAGAAGCUUUGAAUAAAUUGAAAUAUCUUGAACAUAAUGACAAUAUUAGAAAGAUGGCAGUUCUUCCUAAAUGUAUCUAGAAAUGCAAUUUCAAUAAAAAUCGCAACAUUUCUCAUAAAAAGUGUAUAGGUACAGUAAUAGCCAAGACAGCUUUCAAGUUGUGAUAUGAUAAAUUAUAAAAAUGCAGAGAAAAUAAUAUUUGAAUAAAGUUAGAUAAAUAUAACUAUGGAAGAUGCUAGACAGUUUAGAUGAAUGUGGACAUGUAUAGCUACAUUUAUGAUUUUAAUGUAUGAUUGAGUUUCAAUUCAGUAGAUAAAAGAUGAACAGCUAAAUAGAUAUUGAGAAAAUUGACCCUCAACCCAUAAGCAUACAUUGGAAAUUGAUUAAGAAUUGUGUGCGUGUGUGUGUUACACACAUUUACCACUAGAGCGUUUAUGCAUUUGCACAAGGAAGUGGAAAAUCAUUACAUGGUUAUUUAUAAUAAUGAAAACUCAGAAACAAACUAAUUGGCCAUCAAAGCUAGAAUCAUGAAAUAAUUAUAGCAUUUCCAAAUAUGAAAUGCUAUUCAGUAGAUAAAAGAAUAAAGUACUUACAUGAAAAAAAUCUCAGAGGCAUAUUGUUGAGAAUAGAAAGUAAGUUAUAGAAAAUAUUCAGUAAAAAAUAACUACUUUUUUUAUUUCUUUAAAAGAGCCAAACACAACACAUUGCUAUCAAAAACAGAGUAACUUUCAGAAAGAUUACCUACCCUCUGUUUCAUGAUCCCUGAGUUCAACUGUAACUUCUCAGAGACCCUUCCAUCCAUGAUUUUUUUCCUUACAAAACGUGUUUCAUUAUAACCUAGAAAAUGUCAGUUCUUCCACAUUUGAAUCACUUCUUCUGAGGGAGCUCCUUUGAAAGAUAUAAGGGAAGACAUUCAAUCAUCAUGGUCCCCUUGAAUGACAGAAAAGAGGCAUAGGAACAGUUUCUACAAUGUUAGCAGCUCUUUUAAAAUACUGUCUGGGUAUGUCCUCCCUGUAAGACUGAAAUUAAACAAUAAAUGUUCCCUAACAUAUUUAAGAAAACAAAUACACACACACACCACACCCAUAUUUGGAGAGAGAGAUGACAACUAUAGCUUCAGGUCAGGAUAAAAAUAAUUUAUUUUCUAAGUAUAUCCCUUAAUGUGACAUUUGUCCAAAGAGUCAGUUAUAUAUGCACUAAAGAAUUAUUGGCAAUUUUUAUCACAUUUUUCCCCAUGUUAGUACCUUACACGUAGGAAGUUUUCAUUCAUUCACUUGUUCAAACAUUUAUUGACCAAUUCCUAUGUGCCAGUCUGUAACAUCCUGGGAAUACAGACAUGAUAAUAACAUGGCCCCUGUCCACAAAAGACACAAAAUUUUAAUAGGUAACAAGUAGGAUAAUUUAAAUAUGAAAUGCUUCAUAGGGUGUGAUAUCUACAAAGUACCAUUCUACCUAAAGGAAGAUGAGGGAACCUCAGAAUGAAAGAGUCUACUGAACUGAUCAAGAAAUAAUUUUUUCAACUUUAUACUAUUAAACUUAUUAAAUUGUUGCUAUCCUAUGAAAGUAUCUGUAUUCAGAGGAAACAAUUAUUUUGGAUAAUCUUGUCAGUACAGGUUAGGGAAAAUCCCACGAACAAAAGUGAACUGCUUCCAACUCUUAAGAGUCAAGUACAAUUUUAGAAGGCCAGCUCUUGUCUUCUAAGGCAGAAGCAUUGUUACUGCUAGAAGUUGUCUAUGGUAUAUCAUUUCAGGAAUGACAGGUAGCUCUCUUUUCAUAUAUCCUAAAAUACCUCCCUCAGCCACUUCACUAUUGUCUAAAACAAUAUGAAUCAAUUUAUUCCUUCAUUCAUCCCUAAUUUCUGUCCCAUUAACGUGAAAAUAUUUUUGGAGAGGAAGUGGAUUAUCAUUACUCUAGCAUGGAGAUAUUUUGCUGUUUCCUGAGAAAAGCUUUAAAUAGCAAAAUAAAGGGGAAAUGAGUUCCCUAGAUACCAAAGGGACUAAAAGGCCACCACUGAGUGUGACAGGAAACAGAGAGAGAAGUUCUGCAAUAUGUGCAGAACACAAAUUCUCUUGUUUCAUUAUUUUACCAUUCUACUAAUUUCUUCUUUAAACUCCUUUGAACUUACCGCAAUGCUAACCAUCUGCCUUAUUCCCUCCACAUUUCUGAAUUCCCACGCAUCCCCUCAAGAAAACAUGAAAAAUUCUAUUUAAGCUCUAUGAAGUUCUUCUAACAAUCUCAGUUCUUCUGUUGAUAUCAGUCACUGAGAGGUCAAAACAAAAUGAUUCACAGACACCACAGAUCAAAGUAAGCACAAUGUAUAUUGUCUGCUUGUGCUCAUGAGUACACUUCUGAGCACUGUCCCACAAUAUAGUAGUGAGCAUUUGAGGCUCAAAUAAGACACUUUAUGUGCAAUACAACGUACAUCACCAGCAUGACUUGGAAGUCUUAUAUCUAGUCCUAUAAAUCCUUGGACUUUGUUUAGGAGUCAAAAAUUCUCUUUUUACAUCAUAGAAUUCUCUAGUGCCAUGAAAUUUGCAGCAAUCCUCCUAGACUCAUAUCCAAGAGGUUGAUAUCCAAAGUCCCCUUUAGAGAUAAACAAUGUACGAACACAUUCAUUUACUCAAAAUACACUUUCUUUAUGCCAGGAAAAGCACUUAGCAAUGGAGAUAAAGUGAUGACUGAAAAUAUAAUCCCAGCCUUUGAGGAUCUCAAAACACUCUAACUUAAAAGGAAUGGAUAGGACUUUGUUUUCAAACAAGGUGCUAUUGACUUGCUGGAAAGGAAAGUAUUCACAUGGCCAGAUAAUUUGUGCUUCCAAAAAAAUGACAAAUAUUCCUUGCCAAAAUUCUCAAUAGAAAACAUUAUCAGCAAUGUGUUUUCCCUUAAAUAGUCCUCUCUAUAAAACUCCUCUGGUAGCAGGUGUAUCUGAAUUAUAAAGCAGUGAUGGUUUCCAUUCUCCAAACUACAAGUAAGUAGUAUCUUCAAAUCAGCCACUGGAAUCCAUGGUCAAACCAGACUGUUAGACACAUUUUAAACUUGAACACCAAGAAUUGAUCAGCCUAAUGAAGAAUACAGUCACCGGUACAGCUCUAGCUCCCAAGAAAAGUCUAAUCAUAAUGCAUGCUUGCUCAUAUUCCAAACAUUCAAGCAAUAAUUCAUCAGUAUUUUCUAAUAAAAAAAAAGAAUCCUAAGAAUUUUUUUUUUUCCUUGUCUUUUUGCCUUUUCUAGGGCUGCUCUUGUGGCGUAUGGAGGUUCCCAGGCUAGGGGUCGAAUCAGAGCUGUAGCCACUGGCCUACGCCAGAGCCACAGCAACGUGGGAUCCGAGCUGCGUCUGCAACCUAGACCACAGCUCUCGGCAACGCCGGAUCCUCAACCCACUGAGCAAGGGCAGGGACCGAACCCGCAACCUCAUGGUUCCUAGUCGGAUUCGUUAACUACUGCGCCAUGACGGGAACUCCAAGAAGUUUUCUAAUAUUUUUUAGUUGUGAGAUAAGGAAAUUGUUUAGUAACCUUUGUUAAUUAAGCCAAACUAGGUAUAUAUGGGAAAUAAGAUUGCUAGUUGCUGGAGGCCAGCUCUGGCAGCCAGGGAAUAUAUAUCCCGAUCAGAGAUGGACAGCGUAGGCGAAAGAACAGAGACAGCCUCUUUGUCCCUUCUUUCAGGGUGCCGGACUGCUCAAAUUUUAUUGGCAUAAGUGGUUGAUUAUAUAGACAGUUUUCCACUACAGAUUACAUCAUAGUGUUAAAAGUACAUUGGUUAACUAUUAGGCUUUGUUUUUUGAUAACAUGGUACAGCAGCAAUACGUCAUGCUUUAAAAUCUUUAGUCUAACUAAAUUUAGUAAGAACAAUUCAAGGACAAACAGGAACAGCAUAAUCAUGUGGGAAAGAGGAGACCCAGCACAAACCAUCUCAUGGCCAGCCAAUUCCCACAAGCUGAAGAAGUUACAAACACAAAAAAUCCUGUAUUUAGACUAGUAUCUGUCUUCAAAGUGUCCUUGGCAGGGAGACAGUGUGAGAAAAUACAAAUCAACUUAGCUAGCUACUGUUAAAAGUUUCUAAACUCAAGGACAAAACUCACAGCUGGGUUUCUUUUGAUCAAGAAUAAUAUAUGUCUAACUUCUUUGGACCUCAUUAAAAUCCUAACUCUAAAGUUUACUAUAUAACUAGUUAAUAGAUAAACACUAUGUUUUAACUAAGUUGGAUUUAAAUAGGGAAAAGUCCUUCAGGAUAAAAUUCUUAUUAUAUUAUUGCUGUAACUUUGUUAAAUCACAAAUCACCACAGGAAAAUAGGAAUGGGAAAUAAAAAUAAUAAGCAAAUAAUCAGGAAAGACUGAGCAAAACUGAAUAACAAAUAAAACAACAGGAAAGACUAGGUCACCCGAGAAGCAAUCCAUGUUUUCCAGUGCAAACAUGGAAAUUGUUUUCCCAGGAAAGCCCCAAUUCUUCCCCAACAUGAUAGCCGUGUAACCUGAGGCCUGUCCUUGGCUUGUACCAUUCAGGCAGGCUUUUAUCCUGACUAGAGGCCCACCUUUGGCAUGUACGGUUCAGGUGAGCUCCCUUCCUUGGUUAGGAACCUGCCUUCAGGUUUUUCUGCCAUUAGACAUGGUCCUUUUUUUGAGUCCUUACAUCCCCUCGGCUCCCCGCAGCUAGUUAAGAUGUAGGCAAAUCAAGAAAGACCUUGAGAGUCAGGAUAAGUAGUUUGUAAAUGAUUAUCUCACCAGUGGGGAGUUAGGUCUUCUGAACAAACAAGAUACUUCAUAUCAUUAUUAUGAAGUGUACACUGUUGACAUGUAAAAUGAGUUGGAGACUGGACAAGGAGUCUGGAUAGGGGUAAUUUCCUGCAUGAAAAUUAGGUGGUAUUUUAAAUGAAAUAGAAAAUAAAGCUAGACUAUAAGAUUCCUUUCAAAGAAAUACAAUGUAUUUGAAUUUCUCUACUUUUUGGCAUCUUAAAUUUUAAGAGUAUAAUUUUUAAUCCCAGUUGACUAUGAUUAGGAUAUUACUUAUAUGUAAAAUUGAGCUGAUAAUAGCUACUAGCUCACAGAAUUAUUGUGAUGAUUGAAUGGUAUAAUGCAUUAAAUAUAGUAUUAGCAGAAUAUCUGAUACAUAACAAGGACUCUAUCAAAAAUGAUUUUUUCAAGAUUACUAUAUUAUUAUUAUUAUAAACAACAAAAAUGAAAGAAAAUUGUAUUUUUCCUUUUGAAUACAUUCUUCCUUUUGUGUUUACCAGGUUCUUUUAAUGUUUCAAAUGAAAGCCUAAAUAAAUGGAUUUUAGCAUAAAACAUCACUGGAUGAAAUAGCAAUUGGGGUACUGUGGAGAUAAGAAACUUACUUUUCACUUUUUUAAUUUUUAAAAAUAUAUUACCUAUUUAUGGGAAACAAACAUGUUUAAAAUAAGACAGAAACAAUAAUUUGUAGUCAACUAAGAUAGCAAUUACCAAAUGACAGAUAAAAGUUUAUUCAAAAGUGAGUAUAAUAAUUAUGAGUUAACUUCAUUGAAGUGCCUACUAUAUGCCUGCUACUGUUUUGAGCUAUUUCAUGUGUAUAUUAAUUAAUUAUGAGUUUAGAUUCACUAGUCUCCUGAAGCACAAGGAUGAUAUUAUUAGUACUCCAAGUUAUUGAGGAAGUACAAAGAGGUUUACCUAGUUCCCUCCGGUUUACUCCACUUAUGCGUAGUAGAACUAAGAAAUAAACCCAGAUGAUGUUGCUUAAUGUAUGUAUGUACUUAUGAAUAUAUCACUUAAGAAAACAAAAUUUUAAAGCAAGUUCUGUAUGAUCAUAAUUGGCUCUGCCAGACUCAAUAUGGGGGCAGAGGUUUGAGGGAGGAAAUACUAUUUCCAUAUUUGAUAAAUCUAAUUCUAUGGUCCAGUGACUGGACACAUCUGAACAACCUGUUGAUAACCAAGGCUUUAACUAGAUGACAUGAAUAAAACUUUUUUUGUUUGUUUGUUUUAGGAAAGAAGAAUAUAAAUUAAAUAAUAAAAAUCUCUGUAGUGUAAACACUUUGAGACUAGUAAAUUGUCCUCAAUAUCCAAAUUUAAAUGUCUGCAUAAAGAGAAAAUCAAUGAAUCUUUUUCUAAUUCUCUCAAAAUAUUGAGAUAUCUUAAGCUCUGUCUGUUUUGCACCUGCCAAAUGAAUUAUUGAAUAUAUAAGGGUGAAGCUAAGCCAGAGCUAUUGAAAUUGGUUGCAACUGGAUAGAUGACCUUCACUGCUGAAAACUCCUGCAAAUGGCAACAUCACUCAAAGUUUGCAAGACUCUGCUGUGAAAACAAUACAAAGUGGCUUGCAUUAGAAUGUCUGCCUCAGGUGAGAAGUCCAUUUAGGAGCUUUGUGAAACUUCUGAGUGUUAUUGGGUCCAGGGCUUUGAGAUUUAACAAGACUUGAGUUUGAAAGGUGUGCAGUCUGAAGUGGCUUUUGCCAAUUUGUUCCUUGAAAAUUCACAUUAUAAAAAACAACCGUUCCAUUUUAUUUAUUUAUUUUUUUUGUUCUUUGAUAGUUACCCAAUUUUACAUUUAUCUGUUAUCAUAAGCAAACUCUAAGACAAAGUAAACAUCAUAUUUGUGUGAAACUGCCUAACCCUAACUCUGUGAUCUUUGGCAGGAUUCGGAAAGCAUUAAGGAGUUUAGGCUAUAUCUAUAGUACACUGUAGCAAUUCUAAGUCCCUAGGAAGCCUUUAUGAUUCAUUUUUAUACAUUGUAUUUUCAAAUCAAGGGAUCAAAAGACACAUUAUUUUGCUGAAGAUCUGGUAAUCUGUGAGUUCACUUACUACAAGCCAUGAAUAUACACUUACAAGAGGAACUGAAAGCUACUUAUUUCUGAAAGCUAGGUGAGUUAUGAAUGGAUACAAAAAGCUGCAUGUUGCCAAGAGUUUACUUAAGAACCUAUUUCAUUAAUCUAUUGUUAAAUCUCGGUGACAUUUAAUAACAUAGCAAAGUUCCCACUAAGCACAUGAACUUUGGGAAUUCUAAAAAUCUUUAGAAAGGCUUCUUAUCAAUAUGUUUUGAGGCUUUUAUGGGUUUAACUGCUGUUGCUUUUAUUUUUAGUUAUAAAUUACUAUUAAUUUAGCACCGUCAUUCUCAAUGUAAUUUCUAGCAGUUGUUUUGCUUAAUUUCACAAUUUAUAAUGAUAUGUAUUUAUAUAAACAUAGUCAUUUCUGUCUUUUUUAGUCAAAGGGAAUGUGAAUAUUUGAGUCUUUCUUUUAAUCUAUAGAUUGAGAAACUGAGGAUCUCAGGAGUUGUAACUUGCCAAAACAUAAGUAUUUUGAUUUCUAAGCCAUUUUUUCAUGAAAACAUUACCAUGUAAUUAUAACCAAAAUAAGCAAUCUAUUCCAACUGGCCAAAGUCAAAAUUUAGACUUUGGAAAAACCAUGUACAGGAUUUAGUAAUUCAGCACUAAUAUUAGUGCUUUAUUUUUUAUGACAAAUAAAAGCUAUUGUAUG